AGCGAACGCUGGCGGCAGGCCUAACACAUGCAAGUCGAACGAAGCCUUCGGGCUUAGUGGCGGACGGGUGAGUAACACGUGGGAACGUACCUUUUGGUUCGGAACAACUCAGGGAAACUUGAGCUAAUACCGGAUGAGCCCAUAGGGGGAAAGACUUAUCGCCGAAAGAGCGGCCCGCGUUAGAUUAGCUAGUUGGUGAGGUAAAGGCUCACCAAGGCAACGAUCUAUAGCUAGUCUGAGAGGAUGAUCAGCCACACUGGGACUGAGACACGGCCCAGACUCCUACGGGAGGCAGCAGUGGGGAAUCUUGCGCAAUGGGCGAAAGCCUGACGCAGCCAUGCCGCGUGAAUGAUGAAGGUCUUAGGAUUGUAAAAUUCUUUUACCAGGGACGAUAAUGACGGUACCUGGAGAAAAAGCCCCGGCUAACUUCGUGCCAGCAGCCGCAGUAACAC
rnacentral:rRNA from 1 species